ACAUCGUAUUAGUGGGGCAGAUGGCCACCCAAUGAUCUCGUAUUGAACCGUCGGAUCGCCAAUCAAGAUUGGUUUGGACUCAUCUUCUCAUAUUUGGAUGCUUGGACCUGCCUAGGUCGCGUCUGGGUCUAGAUCUGGCAUGGACCCUAUCGGGUUUUGUCGGACCGGGUUGAGUCGACCUGGUAGGAAAAAAAUAAUUAAUAUAUAUAACAUAUAUAUUUUCACUAAAUUUUAUUUAUUAUCAUUUUGACUAGAAUAAAACAUAUAUAUUACAUAGUAUAGAACUUAAUGUUUUUAAAUUUUUAGACCCGGGUCUGGGUCCAUGUAAGCCUAGCUAGGUAGGUUCCAGAUCUGGGUUGGGGUCCAAUUGACACAAAACCCUACCCCACCCAUAAUCUUCGUAUCCUAUAAAUUAUAAAUAUAAGUCAUAGCUCAAGAACCCACCCAAAAAGGUUGUCUUUAAUGUUUGAAAUUUUUUCAAGUGAUCAUCUCGACCUCAACAUAUAGAACUAUGAAUAAAAGAUUUUAAGUCAUAAAAUAAUGUAUUCUAUAACAAAUUAUCUGGACCUGUCUAUUUCCAAAAUGGUUAGUCUGCUUAAUUCUUGGAACUUUAUCGUUCGUAGUUACAGGUUAGCAUACAUGUAUUUAUGUCAAAACUAGGUCUACAUAAAUCGAUGGAUUGCAUGUUAUAAUUUGAUGGAGCAUGAUGAACCUAUUGCAUUUUGAAUAUUUAUAAUCACAUACUUAUGUUAAAUAGACGUGACUUGUGUAAUUUUGUUUACAUAGGAAUAUGUUUUUUUUCUUUUGUAUUCAUUGUAUAACAAAUGUAGGAUCACAUUCGAGAGUUAUUUUUGAUGUGAUGAAGUGACAUUAUAUUAAUACACGUAUAAUAAUCACAAAAAACUCACGAGUGAGUGAGUAUGGGCAGGCCACAGGUUCGGGUGCGUGUACAUAAAACACUCUCUCUAUCUUAUGUGACAUCUCCCUCAACCAGUCUUCUGGGAGUAGAAAAGCAGAGAAUCCUCUCUCUAAAUCAAGAGUUCAAUUACUUGGGAAGCCGGAUGGUGAAGUACAAUAUUACUUUAACAUGAAUUACUUUGGAGACAGGCUUGUUUUAGAGCAGCAAGUUUUUCAUGUACAUUCCGAGAGGAUUUCGGGUUCGAGGGCAUGAAGAGCCUCUCUCUCUCGCCUUCAGACCGUCUGACCUCGAGGAGGUGUGCCAUUUGACAAGGAAGGGUUCUUUUGAAGAGGACAAGACCUUCUGUGCUUUUGCUAGGAGAUUGGCUCAAGUCGAUCGCAUGUAGGGAAUGAUGUGUCCAUUCCAUGAUUUGGAUCAACACAAUACAUCUUAAAUUAGUUUAAGGGGGGAAUAAUGAUAUUAUCACUGUUGCCGCGA